rnacentral:ncRNA from 1 species
AUGGUUCCGAACGUGAAAACCUAAAGGCUUUGGCCUAUGGUUGAGCGUCGAUGGGUAAUACUGGAAACGGUGCUGCCUCCCGUGUUUUGGAAAGGAAUGAUG